AGCGGAUGAGAAGAGCUUGCUCUUCGAUUCAGCGGCGGACGGGUGAGUAUGCUAGGAUCUGCUGGUAGUGGGGGACAACGUUUCGAAAGGAACGCUAAUACCGCAUACGUCCUACGGGAGAAAGCAGGGGACCUUCGGGCCUUGCGCUAUCAGAUGAGCCUAGGUCGGAUUAGCUAGUUGGUGAGGUAAUGGCUCACCAAGGCGACGAUCCGUAACUGGUCUGAGAGGAUGAUCAGUCACACUGGAACUGAGACACGGUCCAGACUCCUACGGGAGGCAGCAGUGGGGAAUAUUGGACGAUGGGCGAAAGCCUGAUCCAGCCAUGCCGCGUGUGUGAAGAAGGUCUUCGGAUUGUAAAGCACUUUAAGUUGGGAGGAAGGGCAUUAACCUAAUACGUUAGUGUUUUGACGUUACCGACAGAAUAAGCACCGGCUAACUCUGUGCCAGCAGCCGCGGUAAUACAGAGGGUGCAAGCGUUAAUCGGAAUUACUGGGCGUAAAGCGCGCGUAGGUGGUUUGUUAAGUUGGAUGUGAAAGCCCCGGGCUCAACCUGGGAACUGCAUUCAAAAACUGGCAAGCUAGAGUACGGUAGAGGGUGGUGGAAUUUCCUGUGUAGCGGUGAGAUGCGUAGAUAUAGGAAGGAACACCAGUGGCGAAGGCGACCACCUGGACUGAUACUGACACUGAGGUGCGAAAGCGUGGGGAGCAAACAGGAUUAGAUACCCUGGUAGUCCACGCCGUANACGAUGUCAACUAGCCGUUGGAAUCCUUGAGAUUUUAGUGGCGCAGCUAACGCAUUAAGUUGACCGCCUGGGGAGUACGGCCGCAAGGUUAAAACUCAAAUGAAUUGACGGGGGCCCGCA
rnacentral:rRNA from 1 species